rnacentral:rRNA from 1 species
CCUACGUGUGGCAGCAGUGAGGAAUAUUGGUCAAUGGCCGAGAGGCUGAACCAGCCAAGUCGCGUGAGGGAAGACGGCCCUACGGGUUGUAAACCUCUUUUGUCGGGGAGCAAAGCGAACCACGUGUGGUUCAUUGAGAGUAACCGAAGAAAAAGCAUCGGCUAACUCCGUGCCAGCAGCAGCGGUAAUACGGAGGAUGUGAGCGUUAUCCGGAUUUAUUGGGUUUAAAGGGUGAGCAGGCGGAGGUGCAAGUCAGCGGUCAAAUUGCGGGGCUCAACCCCGUACUGCCGUUGAAACUGCAUCCCUUGAGUGCGCGAGAGGUAUGCGGAAUGCGUGGUGUAGCGGUGAAAUGCGUAGAUAGGACGCAGAACUCCGAUUGCGAAGGCAGCAUACCGGCGCGCAACUGACGCUCAUGCACGAAAGCGUGGGUAUCGAACAGGAUUAGAUACCCGAGUAGUC